rnacentral:piRNA from 1 species
UGAUAUCUGAAACAGAGCUGAUACUGGUAGG